GGCAGAGUGGCUGAGUGGUCUAAAGCGUUAGACUUGAAAUCUAAUACCUUCGGGUGCGCAGGUUCGAACCCUGCCUCUGUCG
rnacentral:tRNA from 4 species